UUGCAUGCUGAUUUUUAUGUGAUAAGAUGAUGAUUCUAAUUGCAUUGUUAAUGAGAUUACAAAGUUUAGAAUCAUGAUUAGCAUGAUCAGAAACCUAUGUCAUAACAUAAUCAAUUAAUUCUCAGAUCUGAAAAUUAUAAUUGAUGCAUAUGGUGAUGAUCAUAGGAUUCAAACCCUUUUGGUAUUAAAUGUAAAGACCUGCGAUGUGAUCUGCAAUGUCAUGUAAUUUUUCAGAUGCUUGCAUGCAUCUUA
rnacentral:lncRNA from 1 species